AGCGAACGCUGGCGGCAGGCCUAACACAUGCAAGUCGAACGAAGUCUUCGGACUUAGUGGCGGACGGGUGAGUAACACGUGGGAACGUGCCUUUAGGUUCGGAAUAACUCAGGGAAACUUGUACUAAUACCGAAUGUGCCCUUCGGGGGAAAGAUUUAUCGCCUUUAGAGCGGCCCGCGUCUGAUUAGCUAGUUGGUGAGGUAAAGGCUCACCAAGGCGACGAUCAGUAGCUGGUCUGAGAGGAUGAUCAGCCACAUUGGGACUGAGACACGGCCCAAACUCCUACGGGAGGCAGCAGUGGGGAAUCUUGCGCAAUGGGCGAAAGCCUGGCGCAGCCAUGCUGCGUGGAUGAUGAAGGUCUUAGGAUUGUAAAAUCCUUUCACCGGUGAAGAUAAUGACUGUAGCCGGAGAAGAAGCCCCGGCUAACUUCGUGCCAGCAGCCGCAGUAAAAC
rnacentral:rRNA from 1 species